UACGUAGGUGGCAAGCGUUGUCCGGAUUUACUGGGCGUAAAGGAUGCGUAGGCGGAUAUUUAAGUCAGAUGUGAAAAUCCCGAGCUUAACUUGGGAACUGCAUUUGAAACUGGGUAUCUAGAGUGCGGGAGAGGAGAGUGGAAUUCCUAGUGUAGCGGUGAAAUGCGUAGAGAUUAGGAAGAACACCAGUGGCGAAGGCGACUCUCUGGACCGUAACUGACGCUGAGGCAUGAAAGCGUGGGGAGCAAACAGG
rnacentral:rRNA from 1 species